CGUUCCGAGGAGCGUUGCAGCGCCGCCAGGCGUGAGGCUCGGACCACAUCGCAACCACGCUCACCCGCU
rfam:Variovorax paradoxus strain TBEA6 VPARA_contig000007, whole genome shotgun sequence.